rnacentral:rRNA from 1 species
UAAAAUAGCUUGAGCUUCGUAUCCCGAAGACAUAAGAUCUAAGUAUGUGUUAGGUUAUAGACUAAAGUUAAAGUGCUGUAGCAUUAGCACGUGACAAAUAAUACCUUAGAGGUGAAAGGCCUUCAAUUAUGCCGAUAGCUGGAUAGUUACUAAAUAUAUUAAGUUUAUAAUAAACCCAUGAAGUGAUAAGAUUUCAUGAUAAGAAUUUAACUGAUGGCUUGGUAACACUAAUAAUCAAUACUUAGAAGUACUUAUUUUUUACACAAUAAAUCUCGAUAGUAAAUAUUCUUUAAUAGUAACUCAUUUAAUUUAUCUAAUUAAAAAUUUGAUAAUGUAUAAAUAAGUAUAUUAAUAUAAAUUUAGGUAAAUUAACUCGGCAAAUAUUAUGUACGACUGUUUAACAAAAACAUAGCCGGUAGCUAUUUAUUAUCGGUGUGACCUGCCCGGUGAAUUUUUAACGGCCGCAGUACUGUGACUGUGCAAAGGUAGCAUAAUCAUUUGACUUUUAAUUGGAGUCUGGUAUGAAAGGAUUAACGUAUAUAAGCUGUAUCUAGAUAUAAAUUUAUUUAAAUUAUUUAUAAGGUGAAAAUACCUUACGUAAGAAAAAUAGACGAGAAGACCCUUAGAAUUUUAAGAAAACUCAUAGCUAAUAUGAAAUGAUUUUUGUUGGGGCAACAUUUUUUCAUUUAAUAAAAACUCAGUGACAUAACAUAACGAAAAAUUUAAUAAAGGAAAAAUUACCUUAGGGAUAACAGCAUAAUUUUUAAGUAAAGAUUGUGACCUCGAUGUUGGACUAGGGACUAUUAAGGCUAGUCGUUUUAAUAUAAUAUGUUCUGUUCGAACUUUGUUCCCUA